rnacentral:rRNA from 1 species
GAUGAACGCUAGCUACAGGCUUAACACAUGCAAGUCGAGGGGAAACGACAUCGAAAGCUUGCUUUUGAUGGGCGUCGACCGGCGCACGGGUGAGUAACGCGUAUCCAACCUGCCCAUCACUUGGGAAUAACCUUGCGAAAGUAAGACUAAUACCCAAUGACAUCCCACGAAGACAUCUGAAUGGGAUUAAAGAUUUAUCGGUGAUGGAUGGGGAUGCGUCUGAUUAGCUUGUUGGCGGGGUAACGGCCCACCAAGGCAACGAUCAGUAGGGGUUCUGAGAGGAAGGUCCCCCACAUUGGAACUGAGACACGGUCCAAACUCCUACGGGGGGCAGCAGUGAGGAAUAUUGGUCAAUGGGCGAGAGCCUGAACCAGCCAAGUAGCGUGCAGGAUGACGGCCCUAUGGGUUGUAAACUGCUUUUAUAAGGGAAUAAAGUGGGUCUCGUGAGACUUUUUGCAUGUACCUUAUGAAUAAGAACCGGCUAAUUCCGUG